rnacentral:rRNA from 1 species
GACGAACGCUGGCGGCGUGCUUAACACAUGCAAGUCGAACGGAAAGGCCCUGCUUGCCGGGUACUCGAGUGGCGAACGGGUGAGUAACACGUGGGUGAUCUGCCCUUCACUUCGGGAUAAGCCUGGGAAACUGGGUCUAAUACCGGAUAGGAGCCAUUUUUAGUGUGAUGGUUGGAAAGUUUUUUCGGUGUAGGAUGAGCUCGCGGCCUAUCAGCUUGUUGGUGGGGUAAUGGCCUACCAAGGUGGCGACGGGUAGCCGGCCUGAGAGGGUGGACGGCCACAUUGGGACUGAGAUACGGCCCAGACUCCUACGGGAGGCAGCAGUGGGGAAUAUUGCACAAUGGGCGCAAGCCUGAUGCAGCGACGCCGCGUGGGGGAUGACGGCCUUCGGGUUGUAAACUCCUUUCGCUAGGGACGAAGCUUUUUGUGACGGUACCUAGAUAAGAAGCACCGGCUAACUACGUG